ACAUCCACAAGCAAGAGCCCGACUACACAUCCAAAGUGCCAAUCCCUUAAGAAGCUGUGCGAAGGUCCGAGGAUCCUUCUCCAAAGAAAUCUUAGACACCAACAGUGGGAUGUCGAAUUGAGGCAUUUGCAUUUGUUUCAAAUACAAUUCGGGUUGGCUGUGAUUCAAUUAAAUGGUGCCUCACAAACCCGUGGUUUCGGGUUUCUAGAGCUUAAUUGCUCAAUCCCUUGCAAAUAUACGGGGUUUGUAGCUUAUUUGAUGUUCAAUAAAUUUGACGAACAUGAGAUAGAAGCCUAUGUGAGGGUUCAUGUGCUAUGCGGGCUAUCUGGGGAACAAGUAAAGAUGCAGGGCGCUAAAGGAGUGAAGAUCUUUGGGAGUGAUGACGAAGUUGGUUUUCAUGAAAUCCUCACCUCAGCCUGUUAGGUGUGGGUUACGAGAGCGGGGCUGGUACGGGACUGGAGAAGGACCGAGAAGGUUGCUGACUGUAUGCAAAAGGUUCAUUAGUUGAGGAUGAUUUUUCCAAGAAAGAAAAGAUCGCGGCAUUCAGGCUGAUCUAAAGAAUAUUAUGUUGAAAUUGCACCUGACGAUCUUACAAGAAGAAGACGAAGAAGUACCAGAUGACCUAUUCACAGAGGAGUCGAAUCUAACUAAAAGAAAGAAGGGUCAUACCAAAUAAUGUCAAAUUAAUUCAAGAUUGGAAGACUUUCCUUGCAAAGAAGAUGACUCUAAGAUGAAAUUGACAAAAGCGAAACAUUCAGAGAGAUGAAGUCUAAGCUACUCCCGCACACAUGUAGACGCAAAGGAUAUGCUAGGUUGGCGGAGGAUUUGAAAAGAAAAAGUGUAGACCCUUCUCUAGUUUCUAGAGGUGAUGUUUGGAUUUCAGCACAUACUAAGAAGGGUGGUGGACCAUCCAAUUUGCUUGCUGCGGAGACUAUUCAAUAUGGAAAUGGAUCAUCAUCUGGUUUUCGAGGUGACGUUCUUUCCAAAGUUUUUGGUGCUGAGCGCCAUGGUUGUGCAAGAGGAGUCGGAGGUGGUGUUCCUCCUACAAAGCUUGAAAUAUUAUAUUUUCAGAACAGAAAUUGCGUAAUCACCAGAUGGAUGAAAAGGUGCACAAUUUAACUAAUCGGGUCAGAGCACUGACAGAAUUGGUGCAUCUUUUUAUGAAAAAUCAGCUUAGUGAUUUAAUAACAUUGGGAUCAUAUUGAAUAUUUGUGAA